UGGGGCAUAGCCAAGUGGUAAGGCUGCGGACUUUGACUCCGUCAUACGGCGGUUCGAGUCCGCCUGCCCCAG
rnacentral:tRNA from 1 species